UCAGGCAAAAAUGCUAGCCAUUCCUACAGUAAUCAGAGAUUGGGGAUAUGAUUGAAAUAAUAAGUGCCAACUCAGAUUAAUAGAAUACCAAAAUAGUAAUUGGUUGCAGCCUUAGAAUGUUAUCUGGUCAUUUUUUUCAAUUACUAUAAUUUUCAUGAAUCAAAAUCUACAUGCUUCUAUAAUGUUUUUCACAGAUGCCCCUUAUUCUCAUAGAUACAGUUCUGGAAGAGGGUGACAAAGCUUUUUUAAAGCUGUCACUGGUUUGUCGUCUCUUCCGGGACAUUGUUUGGACAACAAUCAUUCCGGGCCCGGGCACAUUUCGAGUGGCUUGACAGUGUAGUGCCAUGAAAACAUCACAGUGCUGCAUGUAAAGACGAGUUUCGCAGGAUGUACGAACUGCAGUGCUGCCAGAACUGUCAAGAAACUUAUAAAGACUGCAUACUGGGCUACGUUGGGCAUGGGAGACGAGGGGAGCUUGUGGCAUUUUACAGCGAAAACGAGCACCCUGGAUUCUGCAGCCAGCUUCAUGAGUGGCUGGGUGUGUGAGUGGCUGGGUGUGUGAGUGGCUGGGUGUGUGAGUGGCUGGGUGUGUGAGUGGCUGGGUGUGUGAGUGGCUGGGUGUGUGAGUGGCUGGGUGUGUGAGUGGCUGGGUGUGUGAGUGGCUGGGUGUGUGAGUGGCAGGGUGUGUGAGUGGCUGGGUGUGUGAGUGGCUGGGUGUGUGAGUGGCUGGGUGUGUGAGUGGCUGGGUGUGAGUGGCUGGGUGUGUGAGUGGCUGGGUGUGUGAGUGGCUGGGUGUGUGAGUGGCUGGGUGUGUGAGUGGCUGGGUGUGUGAGUGGCUGGGUGUUGCAUUUUUAAAUAAAGACUUCUGUAUUUGUUUGACCAAAGCAUGUAACCAAACAUUUUAAAGGCUAGUGUGCCAAUAAAUGCCAAUAAAGAUAUUGUAUUAGCUUGGACAAAGUGUUUGUAAAUGGAGUUA